rnacentral:lncRNA from 1 species
CCGUAAUUCUGAGCAAAACUUUUGUGCAACUUCUCUACUUCAUUUUCAUUGUCGUGUGGAUUCUGCUUACUGGCACAUAUCUUGAAGAAUCAACAAGAGUCAUUAAUUACUGAUGAAUAAACUUAACUAUAACAUUAGGAAAAUAGAUUGUACCUUUCAAGUUGUAGUUGAAGUUCAAGACAUGUUGUCUCCAACUAAAUUGAAGUACAGAAAAUGCCUGAUUGAAUGAAAUGAUAUGGAAUAAAAAGAAAAAGGUUCCAAGAAAUUUAAAUCUCAUAAUGGGUACUCUUUCUCAUAUGAUAGCAAACAACGAAGAGUGAAGGUUAUUUGAGAACUAGAAUAUGCAUUUUUCAUCUGGGUUCUGUUGGUAUCACGAUCUAGUUUAAAAUUGUAUUUUCAGAAAUAAAACAUAUUAAAAUUGCAGUAACUUAAAAAGAAUCAAGAACACGAGGAAUUUUUCACCACAAAAGGUCCGAAUGUUCAGUCUUACGACCUACUCACCCGUUGAGCAUUCACAAGUCGAUAAAGCUCUAGAUCCACUAAGAAAUCACCAAGAAAAGUUACAAUAUGUACGAAGAAAUCAGAGAUUUCUUCGAUGUUUCCUCUAGCUUCAACACAUAGUACAAAACCACACCAAAUCACUAAGAACCUUUCUCACAGUAUACAUCAAGUGUAGAAUCUCAAAAUCACUCAGAUUUUCAAAUCAAGAAACUCACAAAGAAUAUACAGUGUGAUUAGAGAGGAAGUGGAGAGAAAACCCUAAAACACAAAGUUCAACCGUCUCUAAAAUGAAUGGCCAAACACUACUUUAAGCAAUUAAUCAAAAAGCCACAGAUCAACGGUUGGAAGAUGGCCAAGUGUACAGCCUGAUCAAGAAUCAAUUAAUUGAAGAGGCGCAUUUAAAAGGAUCACGUUUUCUUCACCCGGGUUGAACAAUUAUCCACACUCAGCAACAUAGGUGUAAGUGUUAUGCCCUAAAUCCAAUCGAUUUAGGUUGUAAACGCUUUUAAUAUAUUUAAUGCAUUUGAUUUUGGCGAGAUCUAUUAUUUAUUUAAAUUAAUUUUGUAAUAAAUAAUAUUAAAUAAUAGAAUCCUAAGACCCAAUUUUUAGGUAAUCUGUUAAUCACAAGGAAUUGUGAUUGUGAGAUACAAAUUACAUAUAAUUGGAUCUUGAAUAAACCAUGGUCGUAAGUAAUAACGAGAUACGGAUAUCGUUAAUACAGUUAAACCAUCACGUGUGGCAUUUCUUACUUAUGAAGUAAGUAGCUGAUCUCACGAGCUAAAGUGUGGUGACACUUAAAUGAACAUGUGGAUGUUUUGUUGUAGAACAAAACAUUGGAGACCCGCUAAGAGAUUCCACAUGGAUAACUAUCUGAGUGUCAGUGGCUAAUCUCUAACGUUCGAUAGUGGGAUUGAUCCUUUGACUUGAGGUCGUCAUAGUACCCUAUAUGAGGACAGUCAUACUUUGGCGGUGUUGGAUGUUGCUCUGAAAAGGGCCGCUAAUACGACAUCGUUCGGGUACGUCAAGAAUCGUAUGAAGGUUGUGAUUGAUCAAUAAAGGAUUCGUCACUCUUAGAUAGUAGGAGAUAAUCUGCGUUUCAUUCAAUUAAGUCGAUGAUGAAAUCCUUGGCCAAGGUGUACUCAUAAGUCGAAAAGGAGUUUUCGAUUUAUAUUGACUUAAUAGUGGAAUGAAAGAUAUGAUCGAUGAUCGAGAUUGACACAAUUCCAUAUCUCGUAAUUGAUCGGAUCGUAUUGACGAAGGGAUAAUAAUUCCAUGAUAAACGAACGAUUUUGGUUUUGUCAUACCACGUGACAUUUCCCGUCACAUGUAUUGUCCUGACACAUUGCUAGAUGUCAAUCAGGGACGGCGGAUGUGAGUUGACGAUAAAUUAAAAGGGUGUAUUAAUUUAUCGAUUUUGAUUAGAUCAAAAUAAUAUUUCACGACGUUAGGCAUCGUGGUCGGGAACCUAAUGGGUCGCACACAAAAGAGAAUUAGAAGACUACAAAUUGUUAAUUGAUUAAUUUAACAAUCGUUGGAUAAAUUAAUUAAUUGAAUUUCUUAUUUAUAAUCCCGAAUUAAUUAAUUGGAUUAAUUAAUUCACGGACCGGGUUUGAUUAAUUGGAUUAAUUAAAUAUUGGACCGGACCGGGCCGGGUCCGUUUAGGUUUAUAUAUAUAUGCAGCUAGGGUUUGAGGUCCAUUAAGUUAUUCAUUAUUCUUGCUAGCACAAGAAAGAAACCCUAGCAGUUGCUGUCUUCUCUCUGUGUGGAUUUCAUUGGAGGCUGGACAAUUGGACAGCUGUGGGAGGUAGAUUCAAGCUGCUGGAAAGGAAUAACGCAAAAGAGUUUGCAUAUCACACAAAAGGUAUAUUUCUCAUCACAGUUUUUAUCUAAAUACAAAGCUGAAUCCUGAAUGGGAAUUGAAAUCUGUUAAAUUCCGCUGUGCAUGUUUAAAUCAAUUCCCAACAAUAGGCCCAUAUAUUAUGGACCAAGAAUAUGAGGCAGCCCAAAUACUUAACAAUCUCCACCUUACUGAACUAUUUUUGAUAAUUUCUAGGGUCUAGAUAUCAACUUAUUUCAUUUGCUCUUAUUUACCUGUAAAAACAAAAAAGGAGAAAGUUAGUACAUAUUUAAAACAGUACAGCUUGAUUUUUCUAAACACACUACCUUUCAAGUGAUGUUUAGAAUCUUCAAGCAGUUUUUAAACUUAGUUAAAGGCAGUAAUUUGGUCCCUAAAUCAGAGGGAUUAAAUUCUGUUGGAAUUUUUACUAAACUAUCAGGCCCUUUUCAACCAUGUUUCUCACAAAGUGAAACUUAAUGUCAACAUAUUUUGUUCGAUCAUGAUACAUAAGAUUUUUGUUGAGAUGAAUAGCACUCUGAUUGUCAGUAUAAAUUCUAACAGAAUUAUUUAUGAAUCCAAUUUCAUUUAAUAACCCUCUCAACCAAAGACCCUCUUUAACAGCAUCACAGGCAAUUAUAUAUUCUGCCUCCGUGGAUGACAAAACAACUAACUUUUGCAACUGAGAUUUCCAACUAAUGCACCCAUCACACAAAGUGAAAACAUAUGAUGAAGUGGACCUUCUCUUAUCUAAGUCUCCAGCAAAAUCAGAGUCAGUGUAUCCUUUAAGAAUUAUGCCUUCUUUGCUGUUCUUAAACAGCAAGCCUAUAUCUGAUGAGCCUUUCAAGUAUUUUAGAAUCCAUUUCAUAGCCAGCCAAUGAGUCUCACCAGGGUUAGCCAUAAAUCUACUUAGUAUACUUAUAUCAUGAGCUAGGUUUGGUCUAGUACAAACCAUGAGAUACAUUAUGGACCCCAAAGUGUUUGCAUAUGGUACAUUUUCCAUUCUUUUAAAUUCUUCAACAAUUUUUGGUGACUGUUCAUUGGACAGCUUAAAAUAAUUUGCAACAAGUAAAGAAGCAGGUUUACAAUCAGUCAUAGAAAAAUUUUCAAGUAUUUUCUUCACAUAAGCACACUGUUUUAAGCAUAAGGUGCAAUCUUUCCUAUUCCUUUCUAUUUCCAUUCUAAGAAUCUUAUUAGCUUGUCCUAGAUCUUUCAUUUCAAAUUCAAAUUUUAAUUUUACUUCAAUAAAACCAAUUUCAGAUCUAUUUGGGUAAGCAAGUAACAAAUCAUCAACAUAUAAAAGUAAAUAAAUGGUUUCAGGUCCACCUAACCCUUUGAAAAAGAAACAGAAAUCAUAAUUAUUUUUGACAAAACCCAAUGUUUGAAUAUAUGAAUUAAACUUCUUAUACCAUUGCCUGAGAGUCUGCUUCAAGCCAUAAAGUGAUUUUCUUAAUAGGCAGACUUUUUCAGUUUUAGUUUUUUCUUCAAAACCUUUAGGUUGAUUCAUGUAAAUGGUCUCAUAAAGGUCCCCAUUUAAGAAGGCAAUCUUUACAUCUAGCUGAUCAAGUUCCCAAUUAAAAUGGGCAGUUAAGGCAAGCAAAAUUCUUAUAGUUGUGUAUUUAGUAACAGGUGAAAAAAUUUUGUUAUAGUCCACUCCUUCCUUUUGGGUAAACCCUUUAGCAACCAACCUAACUUUGUAUCUUUUAUCUCCAAUGCUAAAGUCCCCUUCUUUUAUCUUGAAGAUCCAUUUACAAUCCACAACUUUCUAAUUUUUAGGUUUAUUCCCUAAGAUCCAAGUCCCAUUUUUAAUCAAUGAUUCCAUUUCUUCAUUCAUGGCUUAUUUCCAAAACUUAGAUUCAGAACAAGUUACAGCUUCUUCAAAGGUAGAAGGUUCAGAAUUUAUAGAGAUAAGAGCAGAGAAACAAGUAACAAAUUCAUCAUUUCUGAUCCUAGAAGAUGGAAACCUAUUCCUCUUAUCUCUAUCUCUAGUCAAUUGGUAAUCAGCUAGGGAUUUCAUCUUUAGGUUCACUCAGACCCUGAUUAAUAUCUAAUUGUGUGGUCUCCACCUCAAUUAAGUCAUUCUGAUCAUUUGAUUCAACUAUUUGAUUUUCAAGAAUAGCCUCCUUCAUAGGUAUAGGUUCAGCAGAUUCUAUUCCAAAUGAUGAUGUCUUGCAGGAUAAUUAUUUUCAUUGAAAAUGACAUUUCUACUGAUGAUGACCCUAUAACCUUUUUGGCAUUUAACCCAAAGUCUAUACCCUUUAGUUCCCUCCCCAUACCCUAAGAAGACACACUUUAAGGAUUUUGGUUCAAGUUUAUCUUCAUCUUGAUGGAAGUAUGCAGUACAGCCAAAAACUUCCAUUAUAAUCAGGUAUAGAGUUUGACCACAAUUUUUCCGGGACUUGAAAAUCAAUAGCACAUGAGGGACUUCUAUUUAUAAGAUAUGUUGCUGUUUUCAAGGUCUCACCCCAAAAGAACUUUGGAAGUCCAGAACUAUGUAACAUACACCUGACCUUGCCCAAUAAGAUUCUAUUCAUUCUUUUAGCAACUCCAUUCUGCUGAUGGUGUAUGUUACGGUUCUGUGCCUUAGAAUUCCAAAUUCCUUACAAAAGGAAUCAAAAUCCAAAUUACAGAAUUCAAGGCCAUUAUCAAUCCUUAGUGUUUUG